rnacentral:misc_RNA from 1 species
CUUCAUUCCUAAAUGGUAUCAGCUUACAGAAACUGGGAUGCAAUGCUGAGCUGAUAGUUGAUGAAUUUGGUGAGAAACUUUUGGAGGAGCUUGAUUACACCUUGGAAGCUCGGAAUAUUGAAGAUUUUCUGGAAAACUUCAAAGAUGAUCCUACCGUUAAAAUUCCUCUGGUUUACAGAAAUCUUUCUGGUUCCCGUGUUUUAGUAAUGGAGUGGAUAGAUGGUAUUCGGUGCACAAACCCACAGGCUAUCAAGGAAGCUGGCAUUGACGUAAAUGGAUUUUUAACAGUUGGGGUGAGUGCUGCUUUGCGGCAAUUGCUAGAGUUUGGGUUAUUUCAUGGAGACCCACAUCCUGGGAAUAUUUUUGCUAUGCGAGAUGGACGUAUUGCAUAUGUGGACUUUGGGAAUGUUGCAGUUCUUAGUCAGCAAAAUAAGCAAAUACUGAUUGAUGCUGUUGUGCAUGCUGUAAAUGAGGACUAUGUUGAGAUGGCAAAUGAUUUCACUAGGCUUGGCUUCUUGGCCAGUGGAACUGAUGUCUCUCCCAUCAUUCCAGNNNNNNAAUUUGGCAGAAUUCAGUUGGGAAAGGACUUUCUGAUUUUAAUUUCAGAAUUGUUACAGGGAAAUUUAACCAGUUGGUUUACAAUUAUCCCUGUAACAAUUCUGAGCGAUUUUCCCUUGUUAUCCGUUCUUUAUUGACUCAAGAGGGCAUGUUUCACCCUGAAGCCAGAUUUUAAAUUUCUUGAGGUUGCCUACCCAUAUGUGGCAAAGCGCCUACUAACAGACCCAAAUCCAGCUCUUCGUGAACGCCUAAUACAGGUUUUGUUUAAAGAUGGUGUUUUCCAGUGGAAACGGCUUGAAAACCUUAUUGUUCUUGCAAAGGAGAAUGUAGCUAGGAUGAGCAGCA